GGGUUUCAGCCACAGUGUGGGAAUUUACGGGGCGAGCAGCAUGACUUUUAUCUGCAGCGUUGUCGCAAAUUUUGGAUUUAGGAUUUGACUAUGUAAAAAUCACAUCGCUUCCGUACUCUUUAGUUAUGCAUUGACAUUAUAUUUCCUCUGCGAAGAAGCAUCUAAACGCCGGUUAAUGAAGAAACCCAGCUGCUAAAAUCUGAAAGUCCAUCAGAAGCUGGCUGGCAAGGGGAGGGACGGCAGACAUGGCCGAAGCUGAGGAUGAGAGCAGGAACAGCAGCCUGCCGAGAAAGAAACCACCCUGGCUCAGACUGGACAUCCCCAUUGCCCCAAACCCUGUGGAGGAACAUAAUAACUUUCUCCAGCCCGUCAUGUGUAACAGCUUGUACCUGCGGAGUGCCAGUGUACCCACUGAAAACA